GCUUCCCUCUUUCUUCGUGCCUAAUACAUGCAAGUCGAGCGAACAGACGAGGAGCUUGCUCCUCUGACGUUAGCGGCGGACGGGUGAGUAACACGUGGAUAACCUACCUAUAAGACUGGGAUAACUUCGGGAAACCGGAGCUAAUACCGGAUAAUAUAUUGAACCGCAUGGUUCAAUAGUGAAAGACGGUUUUGCUGUCACUUAUAGAUGGAUCCGCGCCGCAUUAGCUAGUUGGUAAGGUAACGGCUUACCAAGGCGACGAUGCGUAGCCGACCUGAGAGGGUGAUCGGCCACACUGGAACUGAGACACGGUCCAGACUCCUACGGGAGGCAGCAGUAGGGAAUCUUCCGCAAUGGGCGAAAGCCUGACGGAGCAACGCCGCGUGAGUGAUGAAGGUCUUCGGAUCGUAAAACUCUGUUAUUAGGGAAGAACAAAUGUGUAAGUAACUAUGCACGUCUUGACGGUACCUAAGCAGAAAGCCACGGCUAACUACGU
rnacentral:rRNA from 1 species